UGGGGAAUAUUGCACAAUGGGCGCAAGCCUGAUGCAGCCAUGCCGCGUGUAUGAAGAAGGCCUUCGGGUUGUAAAGUACUUUCAGCGGGGAGGAAGGGAGUAAAGUUAAUACCUUUGCUCAUUGACGUUACCCGCAGAAGAAGCACCGGCUAACUCCGUGCCAGCAGCCGCGGUAAUACGGAGGGUGCAAGCGUUAAUCGGAAUUACUGGGCGUAAAGCGCACGCAGGCGGUUUGUUAAGUCAGAUGUGAAAUCCUCGGGCUCAACCUGGGAACUGCAUCUGAUACUGGCCAGCUUGAGUCUCGUAGAGGGGGGUAGAAUUCCAGGUGUAGCGGUGAAAUGCGUAGAGAUCUGGAGGAAUACCGGUGGCGAAGGCGGCCCCCUGGACGAAGACUGACGCUCAGGUGCGAAAGCGUGGGGAGCAAACAGG
rnacentral:rRNA from 1 species